AGCUGAAAAACAAUAUUUUUAGAAGCUAUGUCUUUGGGGGUCAGAGUUCAGGUGCUUAUUAUUUAAUGAUGAUGUUCACGUAUCAAGAUUUUUUCCUAGAGGAUGUAUGAAUUGUAAAGCAAAGUCCAGGACUAGAAAAGCUGAGUCAUCUUUUUGACCCUGAACUUGCAAAUGCGUAUGAAAGGCUUUGUGGAGACAGCAGGAGCAAAACAGAGUAAGGGUUUAUUUUGGUCACUGAAGUCAGCAGAUCGGACUCCACUGCAGACAGGAAGCAGGCUGCCAGUUUUACAUUGCCACUCUCCUGAGCAUCACUGCACUUUCCUGCAGGGAACAGCUGCGCCUCUGUCCGACUCUGCUGGGACGCUCUAGGGAGGAGAUAGAUGUCAGUUCAGUCCUCGGAGGCUCUGCUGAGAUUGCCAAGGAGGCCACUUGACACCAGUGAUGAGCAGCCACUUCAUGCAGAGCUAGACUGAGAAACCAACUUCACCACAGUAACUUUGGCUCGCCACAGACCUGGGGGUGAUCGGAACAAGCAAUAGCCCCAUCAUCAAGCCCCUCCUCAUCCAGACUGCAAGGCCAUUCUUACAACUCCGUGUGGCUCCCAAAGGUUUAAUUUGAACAGCAGAGUAUGGAACCUUCUGCCUCCACGUGUAUUUUGUGUUUAUUGUUCAGUCACAUUUAGACACCCUUCCCACCACUGCUUGAGACCUGGGGAAAUUUGAUUUUGAGUGUUUCCCCCAGACCUCACCUUCUGUAUAUGAAGCUGACAGGAGAUGGUGCUGCUGUUCAAUAAAGGGAGAUUUGAGUCCAAAAGAGAGAUUUGCUGACAUUUUGCAAACCAGUCCUGCUAAGCACAACUACAGAAAAAAGGGAGUUAGAAGCAGAUGACUCAAGGGUCAGGCAUGAGAAAAGGAGCUUUACACCUCUAGUUCAUCAGACUGAAGCAGCAGACAUUAGAAACCACUGCUACUAUCCUAUGGCCAUUCACUGUGAAAAAUGGUUAAGACGCCUCAGUGCAUUUCCUAGUAUAGAGUUACUCACAUAAUUUUUUCUACAUUGUUCUUCGUAGACGUAGUCCUCCCCCAGCCUUCCCUGUUAUGGGACUGUAAAUUUAGACAAUCUCAUUACAGUUUUAGGUGCAUGGAACAGGGCUUGCUUUGUUUUGUAAAGCACCACAUACAUUUAAACAAGGAGUCUGGUGGCACCUUAAAGACUAACAUUUAUUUGGGCAUAAGCUU